GCCCGUUCUUCCGCCCGUGCCGCCGCGUCUGGAGCUCGGCGCUCGCCCGGCUGUCCCUCUUCCGGGGGCCGCCCGCCGCGGGCCUCCGGAGCGGCGUCGCCGGCCCUUUUUUUUUGCCGGAGAACCAACCGGAGUGGCGAGGAGCUGCCUUGAGCGGGCCUUUGUGCCCGCAGGGCCCCCACGGACAUCCGACAGGGGGCCCCUUACCUGGUCGGCUCCACCCGCAGCCAUCUUGGAAGUGGGAAGCGGCCGGGAGGGGGAAGGGGCUCGAGCGGGCAGGGCUCAGGCGUAGGGAGCCGAGCGGCGGAGCGCAUCGAUGGGGCUCCCCUGCCCCGGCCGGUGUGCGGGAGACGGCCCGGGCCCCGCCGCGGAAGGGAAGCUUUGCGUGACACCGGAGCUCAGGCCCCGCCGCGGUGGUCUUGGGAGCGGCGCCGUGGCGUCCUCCCAGCCAGCCUCAGUCUCUUAAUCUAUAAAGGGCUUUUCCGAACGUUCUCUCUUAUCGCGCUGUGACACGGUGCCUGGCGCUGUAGUUCCCAAACUGGUCUGCACUUUAGUAUUGCCUGCGGAGCUUUUAAUAUUCUGAAGCCCAGGCCGAUUAAGUCACAGUCUCUGAAGAUGAGAUGGAAGCAUCAUCAGUUUGGGAAGCUGUGUAAUGUGCACGCGGGUUUGGAAGCCACUGGCCUGGCGUUAUCUGCAUAUUUGGCCUCAACAUUGCACAAACUCCAGAGACGGGAUCUAUGAUCAGAGCCAUUGUACAAAGCGGGAAACGGGCUCAGAGAUGAAGCCCUCCGCCCAAGGACCCGGGUGGGUCAGUAGCUGAGAGGGGCAGAAGCCAGGUUCCCUGCCCCAGAGCCCUCCAUGAGCUGGUAGAGAGUAUGUGAGGAGCCCCUGUUGACGGGCAGUGGGUCUCCAUUCCCCUUCUAGGCUGUGGGUUCCAUGAGGAAAGCCGGGCUUAUCUUGUUUACUGCUAUUUUCCCUGGGCCUGGCAAAUAGUUGGUAUUUGACGUUAUUGGGUUGUCGUUAGACUCUGGGGACUUGAGGGCAAGAGGAGAGACCCAGCGCUGGGAGCCAGAAGUCCUGGAUUUCCACUUGGCUUUGGCUCCUGCCAACCAGGAGCCCUGAGGGUUGUCACUGGCAGAUAAAUUACCAGAGAGGAAACCCGGGAGAGACUGACUGCAGCCCAAUCUAAGGGAAGACUCAGCCACUCAGAAAGGUCAGGGGCAGGAGGAGUUUCCGCAUUACAGGAAGCAUCUGGAAGCAUGAAAUGGAAGAUUUGUCUCUACUGCGGUCGUUAGGGAUGGGCUAGGGAACCCCGAACUUGGGUCUCCUCUCCAGCUCAUGGCUGUAAAAACCCUGAGCAUCUAUGAGAUAUGACGCAGAAGCAAGAGAGAUUUUUAAAGGCGAUCUCUUGAAAGCAAAAACAUUAACAUCCCUCGCAGUGCUGCAUCACAGAAACUUUAUAAAUGCUUAAAUUUCUGGGGGUUUUAAGUAAAAAUAAUACGAGGCCUCCUUCAUACCUCUUAAAACAAGGCCUCCCCAGCUUUUUCUAAGUAAACCCUAGUGGAAAAG
rnacentral:lncRNA from 10 species